CCCAUGCCAUAACACACAGACACACACAGACACACACACACACACACACACACACACACACACACACACACACACACACACACACACACACACACACACACACACACACACACACACACACACACACACACACACACACACACUGACACACAGACAAUGCACCGCUAUUAGGACUGCCUCCCCUCAGGAUUACAAGUCAUGCCAAAAUAAGGAGACCACACUCGACAUGCAAUGGAAAUCCAGAUGUCUAUCCCCGGCCUGUUUUCCCAACAAUCAUCAGAUUUGCUUUGGCACCUUGGGGGCAAAGCAUCGGAGCCAUUCCAAUCAACACCCCCCCCUCUUCCACGUCUCCUUGACAAAGUUGCAACCACCUUCUCACCUGCUGAUGCCACAAAGAGGACUUGAGCAAAACAGCGACAUGCCGACAGUCAUUCAAUUUCCCCCGUCUUUAGGAAUCAGACGCACUUCCUC
ensembl:lncRNA